rfam:Erinaceus europaeus unplaced genomic scaffold scaffold00424, whole genome shotgun sequence
UCCCGGUGACGAAACACCCAAAUGUCUUCUUACCUCCUGUCCUCGUCCCAGAGCCUGCAGAGGUGAACCCACUGGGACUGGCUAGGGGAAAAGAGGAAAUUUUGCUCCAGAAGGAAUUGUCUGAGGGAU